rnacentral:rRNA from 1 species
UACGUAGGGGGCUAGCGUUGUCCGGAAUCAUUGGGCGUAAAGCGCGCGUAGGCGGCCAGAUAAGUCCGGUGUGAAAGUCACAGGCUCAACCUGUGAAUGCCGCUGGAAACUGUCUGGCUUGAGUCCGGAAGGGGCGAGUGGAAUUCCUGGUGUAGCGGUGAAAUGCGUAGAUAUCUGGAGGAACACCGGUGGCGAAGGCGGCAUUCUGGACCGAAACUGACGCUGAGGCGCGAAAGCCAGGGGAGCAAACGGG